rnacentral:rRNA from 1 species
UAGUCCACGCCGUAAACGAUGAUCACUAGCUGUAUGCGAUACACAGUAUGUGGCUAAGGGAAACCGAUAAGUGAUCCACCUGGGGAGUACGUCGGCAACGAUGAAACUCAAAGGAAUUGACGGGGGCCCGCACAGGCGGAGGAGCAUGUGGUUUAAUUCGAUGAUGCGCGAGGAACCUUACCUGGGCUUGAACGUAUGGUGCAUGGGUGUGAAAGCAUCCUUUUCAGCAAUGAACUUCAUACGAGGUGCUGCAUGGUUGUCGUCAGCUCGUGCCGUGAGGUGUUAGGUUAAGUCCUGCAACGAGCGCAACCCCUAUCUUUAGUUGCCAUCAGGUGAUGCUGGGCACUCUAGAGAGACUGCCUGCGCAAGCAGAGAGGAAGGUGGGGAUGACGUCAAAUCAGCACGGCCCUUACGUCCAGGGCUACACACGUGCUACAAUGGUCGGUACAGAGGGCAGCUACAUGGUGACAUGAUGCCAAUCUCCAAAGCCGGUCUUAGUUCGGAUCGAAGUCUGCAACUCGACUUCGUGAAGCUGGAUUCGCUAGUUAUCGUAUAUCAGCCAUGAUACGGUGAAUACGUUCCCGGGCCUUGUACACACCGCCCGUCAAGCCAUGGAAGUUGGGGGUACCUGAAGUCGAUUACCGCGAGGGAUCGCCUAGGGUAAAACCGAUAACUGGGGCUAAGUCGUAACAAGGUAACC